rnacentral:rRNA from 1 species
AUGUCAAGACCUGGUAAGGUUCUUCGCGUUGCUUCGAAUUAAACCACAUGCUCCACUGCUUGUGCGGGCCCCCGUCAAUGGCUUUGAUUUUCAACCUUGCGGUCGUACUCCCCAGGCGGAGUGCUUAAUGUGUUAACUUCGGCACUAAGGGCAUCGAAACCCCUAACACCUAGCACUCAUCGUUUACGGCGUGGACUACCAGGGUAUCUAAUCCUGUUUGCUCCCCACGCUUUCGCGCCUCAGCGUCAGUUAUAGGCCAGAAAGUCGCCUUCGCCACUGGUGUUCCUCCACAUAUCUACGCAUUUCACCGCUACACGUGGAAUUCCACUUUCCUCUCCUACACUCAAGUCCCCCAGUUUCCAAUGACCCUCCACGGUUGAGCCGUGGGCUUUCACAUCAGACUUAAGAGACCGCCUGCGCGCGCUUUACGCCCAAUAAUUCCGGACAACGCUUGCCCCCUACGUAUUACCGCGGCUGCAGGCACGUAGUUAGC